rnacentral:rRNA from 1 species
GUAGGUGGCAAGCGUUGUCCGGAAUUAUUGGGCGUAAAGCGCGCGCAGGCGGUUCUUUAAGUCUGAUGUGAAAGCCCACGGCUCAACCGUGGAGGGUCAUUGGAAAUUGGAGAACUUGAGUACAGAAGAGGAAAGCGGAAUUCCACGUGUAGCGGUGAAAUGCGUAGAGAUGUGGAGGAACACCAGUGGCGAAGGCGGCUUUCUGGUCCGUAACUGACGCUGAGGCGCGAAAGCGUGGGGAGCAAACAGGGAUUAGAUACCCUGGUAGUCCACGCCGUAAACGAUGAGUGCUAAGUGUUAGGGGGUUUCCCGCCCCUUAGUGCUGCAGCUAACGCAUUAAGCACUCCGCCUGGGGAUACGGCCGCAAGGCUG